rnacentral:rRNA from 1 species
AACGAACGCUGGCGGCAUGCCUAACACAUGCAAGUCGAACGAGACCUUCGGGUCUAGUGGCGCACGGGUGCGUAACGCGUGGGAACCUGCCCUUAGGUUCGGAAUAACUCCCCGAAAGGGGUGCUAAUACCGGAUAAUGUCUUCGGACCAAAGAUUUAUCGCCUUUGGAUGGGCCCGCGUUGGAUUAGCUAGUUGGUGGGGUAAAAGCCUACCAAGGCGACGAUCCAUAGCUGGUCUGAGAGGAUGAUCAGCCACACUGGGACUGAGACACGGCCCAGACCCCUAGGGGAGGCCGCAGGGGGGAAUAUUGGAAAGUGGGCGAAAGCCUGAUCCAGCAAUGCCGGGGGAGUGAUGAAGGCCUUGGGGUUGUAAAGCUCUUUUACCCGGGAUGAUAAUGACAGUCCCGGGAAAAUAAGCCCCGGCUAACUCCGU